rnacentral:tRNA from 1 species
GCCUUCGUAGCUCAGCGGGCAGAGCAACCGCCUCUUAAGCGGUGGGUCCGAGGUUCGAUCCCUCGCGGGGGCA